rnacentral:lncRNA from 1 species
UAAAACUGAACAGAGGGUGUACUAGGUAACUAUAAGCUAAAAAGCAUGGACACGGCAGAAGUUGCCGAAUCCCCGUGUCAGAUACUGCGACACGGCCGGAUACGGUCGGACACAUGUAUCCCGCCGUAUUCUCCGAAAUACGAAUUAAAAAAAAGGCUGGACACGGGUGGGACACGUAUGGGACUCGGGAGGCCCAAUUAUGCCUCGGCCUGAUAGGAAUCCCUAUCGAGUAUCGAAGGCAGGUCGCACUCACGGGCGCCACAGAAGGCAACACCACAAAAUAGGGUUUCCCACCUUCUGCACUCGCCGCUGCCGCCUCCGUCGCCGUAUGGAGUCGCCGCUGUCGACGUAUGGAGUCACCGCCGCCUGGACUCGACUACCGGCCCACCGUCGUCCCCCAAGUGCAGUAGCCUCUCCUCCCAACGACGACCAUGCUGGAGCAGGUAUCUCUACCUCCUUGAUCAAUUUGAAUCGAUUUUUUGUUGAGCUGCUGCUGCGCAUCCCCCGUUCGUCUACCCUUGCUGCUGCUUCUACUCGCUAGUUGCUUCCCCGUGCUGUUCAUGUGCUGCUGCUGCUUGCUUGUUGCUUCCCCGUGCUGUUCAUGUGCUGCUGCCCUGCUGCUGCUUGCUUGUUGCUUCCCCAUGUGAACUGGUGAUUGAAUUAUUGGUGGUUCAUGUUAGGGAACGUUGCAUCUGGGAGCGGAGCCACUGCUGAUAGGCAAUCAUCCGUGGGUGAGAGUGAAGGAUGACAACCUGUAUGUGGUGCUGUGGAUCCGAUACUAGACUAUUAUUCGAUGUGUUUUGCAAGUUGCAGUGACAUGGAUCUGGCUGAAUGAUCAAUCAAGCACUUGAAAUAGGAGACAACAAAUGGGGCAGUAUUUCUUUUCUCAUUUUUUUGUCCUCAACUCUAUAUUACAUGACAUAUUUUUAUUUAUGUUUAUAUAUACUCGCCGUGUCCCCGAUGGGCUGUUUUUGGAAAUUGCCGUAUCCCGUGUCCCCGUAUGCGUGUCACCGUGUCCGUGUCGCUGUAUCCGUGCUUUUUAGACUAUAAGUAUAUAACACAGAUCCAAUUUGUUGUGCUAGACAAAACAGCUCACCGGUAGUUGUGUGAGUUCGUUCAUAUAGUUUAAAAGAUGUUGGAAACCAUAUAAAACUAAGGAAGGAAUGCUAGCAGCUCUCGAUUAAUCCUUUGGGGAAGCAAAGGAGUGAAGCCACAAUAAGCUGCUCAGUCUUUCCUACUUUGGGUAGGCUUUGCAAAUUUUGGACAGAAAAUCAAAAGUACACCAAACAGACUAAAUUUACCCAACAACGAGUAGAGAAAAUAGAUAGUGAACAAAGCAUAAAAUUUAACUGUACAGAACCAUAUACUAUAAGAUAAAGUUUUCAUGCAUACUUGAUCCAUACGUUGUCGAAAGCAACAUACUGACUCAUACCUCAAUGUAGUCAAUAGCAACGUGCCCUGUGCCCUGAUCAUCCCAUUUGCCUCCAUCCCUCAAACGGUACACUUUCACACGCUGGAACAAUUACAAUUACGAGACAUUGAUACCAUAUUUAUAUAAUGUGAAAAUAAUGAAGAUUGAAACGGAAAAGAUACUGCCCAUAAAAGUACUGUUUGAGGGAUGGAGGCUUUUUGCCAUAUCCACAAAUUAAAGCACAUUUGCUUAAAAAAUCCACAAGUUAAAACACAUUUGCUUAUCAUAUUAGGUAGUAUCUGGCUGGAUACCUUAGGCUUUUUGCCGUAUCCAUGAGUUAAAGCACAUUUGCUUAAAGUAUCCAGUGCUGGGACUAAAGUGUGCCCCAAGUGUAACCAAUUCGAUCCUUCAGCGGCUUCAGACUGAAGUUGCAGUGGAUGAAGAGCAAUCAGAACUUUAAUUGUUUACUUCCUACUU